CCCUUAGAUGUUCUGGGCCGCACGCGCGCUACACUGUUCGACGCAGCGAGUCUUAACCUUGACCGAAAGGUUUGGGUAAUCUUCAGCAAAGUCGAACGUGAUGGGGAUCGAUCAUUGCAAUUAUUGAUCGUGAACGAGGAAUUCCUAGUAAAUGCAAGUCAUCAGCUUGCGCUGAUUACGUCCCUGCCCUUUGUACACACCGCCCGUCGCUACUACCGAUUGAAUGGUUUAGUGAGAUCUCUGGAUUGACGCUGGCUAGGGGGCGACCCUUGGCCAGACUGUUGAGAAACUGCUCAAACUUGAUCAUUUAGAGGAAGUAAAAGUCGUAACA
rnacentral:rRNA from 1 species